rnacentral:rRNA from 1 species
UACGUAGGGGGCAAGCGUUAUCCGGAUUUACUGGGUGUAAAGGGAGCGCAGACGGCAGUGCAAGUCUGGAGUGAAAGCCCGGGGCCCAACCCCGGAACUGCUCUGGAAACUGUGCGGCUAGAGUACUGGAGGGGCAGGCGGAAUUCCUAGUGUAGCGGUGAAAUGCGUAGAUAUUAGGAGAAACACCAGUGGCGAAGGCGGCCUGCUGGACAGUAACUGACGUUGAGGCUCGAAAGCGUGGGGAGCAAACAGG